UACGUAGGGGGCUAGCGUUGUCCGGAAUCAUUGGGCGUAAAGCGCGUGUAGGCGGUUCGGUAAGUCCGCUGGGAAAGUCGGGGGCUCAACCCUCGAAUGCCGGUGGAUACUGUCGGACUAGAGUACGGAAGAGGCGAGUGGAAUUCCUGGUGUAGCGGUGAAAUGCGCAGAUAUCAGGAGUAACACCAAUUGCGAAGGCAGCUCGCUGGGACGUUACUGACGCUGAGACGCGAAAGCGUGGGGAGCAAACAGG
rnacentral:rRNA from 1 species